GACGAACGCUGGCGGCGUGCUUAACACAUGCAAGUCGAACGGAAAGGCCCUGCUUUUGUGGGGUGCUCGAGUGGCGAACGGGUGAGUAACACGUGAGUAACCUGCCCUUGACUUUGGGAUAACUUCAGGAAACUGGGGCUAAUACCGGAUAGGAGCUCCUGCUGCAUGGUGGGGGUUGGAAAGUUUCGGCGGUUGGGGAUGGACUCGCGGCUUAUCAGCUUGUUGGUGGGGUAGUGGCUUACCAAGGCUUUGACGGGUAGCCGGCCUGAGAGGGUGACCGGCAACAUGGGACUGGGGAUACGGCCCGGACUCCUCCGGGAGGCAGCGGGGGGGAUUAUUGCACAAGGGGCGAAGGCCUGUGGCAGAACCGCCGCGUGCGGAUGACGGCCUUCGGGUUGUAAACCGCUUUCGCCUGUGACGAAGCGUGAGUGACGGUAAUGGGUAAAGAAGCACCAGCUAACUACGUG
rnacentral:rRNA from 1 species